ACUGUCAUAUAUAAAUUAUUUGUUAAAAAUCUUACCGUCACUAAACAUUUUAUUUUCUUUUAUUUUUCUAUGUAGGAAACAGAAUGGAGAAAAAUCUUGAGAAAGUUGGUGUGGAGGAUAUUGAUGAAUUAGGAUUCUUUACUUGGAACGAGCCAUCUGUUCAAGUAACAAUUGAAAUAACGCCUGGAAGAUCCUACUAUCAAAAAUGGAGCCGGCCUAAGAUCUGUAUUAAAAACAUAUAAAAAAAGUGUUCCAGCCUAUUGAAACUGUUCUUUUUAGCUUAGUGGUGGCUGCAGGUAUAAGAGGCAUUAAGGGGCCUAUUUAUUAAACCUCAGUUUUUCUAUUCGAGUUUUUAAAGAAGAAAAAUUAAAUUUUUAGAGGAAAAAAAACUUGAAUUUCUCAGUUGUCUUCUUGGGGCACACAGGGAACCAGCCUGUUAUUUUUAGCUUUGUGUGGCUGGUGGUAGGUGUAAGAGGCAUUAAGGGGCCUAUUUAUUAAACCUCAGUUUUUAUAGUCGAGUUUGUAAAGA